GGUGAGUAACACGUGGGAAACCUGCCCAGAUUCGGGGGAUAACACCUGGAAACAGAUGCUAAUACCGCAUAACAACUUGGACCGCAUGGUCCGAGUUUGAAAGAUGGCUUCGGCUAUCACUUUUGGAUGGUCCCGCGGCGUAUUAGCUAGAUGGUGGGGUAACGGCUCACCAUGGCAAUGAUACGUAGCCGACCUGAGAGGGUAAUCGGCCACAUUGGGACUGAGACACGGCCCAAACUCCUACGGGAGGCAGCAGUAGGGAAUCUUCCACAAUGGACGAAAGUCUGAUGGAGCAACGCCGCGUGAGUGAAGAAGGGUUUCGGCUCGUAAAACUCUGUUGUUAAAGAAGAAUAUAUCUGAGAGUAACUGUUCAGGUAUUGACGGUAUUUAACCAGAAAGCCACGGCUAACUACGUGCCAGCAGCCGCGGUAAUACGUAGGUGGCAAGCGCUGUCCGGAUUUAUUGGGCGUAAAGCGAGCGCAGGCGGUUUUUUAAGUCUGAUGUGAAAGCCUUCGGCUCAACCGAAGAAGUGCAUCGGAAACUGGGAAACUUGAGUGCAGAAGAGGACAGUGGAACUCCAUGUGUAGCGGUGAAAUGCGUAGAUAUAUGGAAGAACACCAGUGGCGAAGGCGGCUGUCUGGUCUGUAACUGACGCUGAGGCUCGAAAGUAUGGGUAGCAAACAGGAUUAGAUACCCUGGUAGUCCAUACCGUAAAC
rnacentral:rRNA from 1 species